rnacentral:misc_RNA from 1 species
GAAAAGUCAAAAACCAUCUUCUAAUUCCAAACAAAAAACAGAAACUUGUUUUUCAAAUUGACGUAGUUCUCCUCUCCGGCCACCCACACCCACCCACUUUCUAUUCUUCUAUCUCCUUCCUCUUUCUUUGUUUUUUCCUCCACACAUCUACGUAUAGAUCGACAUAUACAUAUAAAUAUCUACACUGAACGACUUACCAAGGACUCGUUCGUUUGCUCACAGAUAAAUGGCG